CGCCCGGCCGGAUCCCGUGGGGGGAAUCCGCUCCGGGAUAUGGGAAGCGCCCCGACCGUCGAC
rfam:Streptomyces sp. HCCB10043 Contig_1040, whole genome shotgun sequence.